AAGUCGUAACAAGGUCUCCGUUGGUGAACCAGCGGAGGGAUCAUUACCGAGUUUUCAACUCCCAAACCCCAUGUGAACUUAUACCAUUUUUUGCUUCGGCGGGUUCUCGCCCCGGGUUUUACACCCCGGAACCAGGCGGCCCGCCGGGGGACUCAAACUCUAGAUUUUUACUUUUAGCAUGUCUGAGUGGAAUCAUUACAAAAUGAAUCAAAACUUUCAACAACGGAUCUCUUGGUUCUG
rnacentral:misc_RNA from 1 species